rnacentral:misc_RNA from 1 species
AGUCGAAUUGAGAACCUCCUCCUUUUUUGGAAGUCGAGAAAAAAAUAGUAUCACACGAAUACAUCACUUAAAAUUCGUAAUGAAAUUUGUAAAUCAUGUUUACGUGAAAUUGUAUCGAAAAUUAAGCUAAUAAUAAAGUAGUAAUGUACGUUUACCGACCAACACUUACCGAACGUUUUGCGGUAACGUGUGUUACAGAAAUUAAUCAUCAACUUAUUUACGGGAAUAAAAU